rnacentral:rRNA from 1 species
AGUCUGGCCUGCCCAAUGAUGAUUUGAAUGGCUGCAGUAUCCUGACUGUACAAAGGUAGCGUAAUAAUUUGUCUUAUAAUUGAAGAAUGGAAUGAAUGGUUUAACAAAGAUGUGGCUGUCUCUUAUAUAUUUGUUUGAAGUUAAUUUUCAGGUUAAAAAACUUGGAUAAAAUUAAAGGACGAGAAGACCCUAUUGAGCUUAAAUUGAUAACGGUGUUAAGUAGAAUAUAAGUUUGAGAUUUGUUAUAAAGUUGUGUAGUUUUAGUUGGGGCGACUAAGGAGUAGGUGAAGCUUCCUUUUAGUGGUUGGAAAAGUUGUUUAUUGAUCCAGUUAUUAUGAAUUAAGAUCAAGCUACCAUAGGGAUAACAGCGUUAUCUUUUUUGAGAGUUCUUAUCGAUAGAAAGGAUUGCGACCUCGAUGUUGGAUUAAGGUUUAAUAAGGGUUGUAGAAGCUUUUAUGGUUAGUCUGUUCGA